GGGAUCUUGCUCGUCGAGGAAGAGAUCGUCGGGAACUCUAAAUGCGCCGUGAGCGCAAACGAUGGCCGCACCGACCAUGAGAGCGGAGAUGAGAACGGAUCCGACGCUGGUGAGGAAAAUGACGACGACGCUGAGGACAACGAGGAUGCCAAGGGUCUCGCGGUCGGAGAAAGUGCGGCCGAAGAGGACGAGAGGAGGAUCGGAGGGGCGGAAGAGGUAGAGGAAGAGCCAGGCGGCGAGGAGAGAAAGGAGGAGGAGGAGAGAGAAAGGGUUGGUGAGGAGAGAGAAGGCAAGGGUAAGGGCGAUGAGGGAGAGGUAGUUGACGCGGAAGUAGGUGUAGUUCUUGCGUACGCGAAGGGCGGCCUCGGAGAAGGACUCGGGGCGGGAGAAAGCGUUGCGGUCGACGAGCUCGGACCAGGGGCGGCGCUGAGCGAAGCCGUUGCGGACGGAAUCGGUGAUGUGGGUGAUAAAUAAGCGGACAGCGGGUGUGGCGACCGGAGGCUGCGAUUGAACGGAUGUGGCGGUGGUUUCUGGGUUGGAAAUGGGGAGAAUUGGAGGAGACGAAGUCGCCAUCGAUGGGGGUUUUGGAGGUCGACGAUUUGUGUUAGGCAAGACUGGAUUUGAGGGGGGUGGGUGGCAGAUCUUUGGGGAUAUAUCUAUAGCGUGGAUGUAGGGAGAAAGAACGUAUUGCGUUGUUUCCCCACAAUUCCACCGACUUUAGGUGAGAGAGGGCAAUACACCACGAUGGACCAAGGUGGGGCCGGUCCACCCCUGCACCAUACUUGAUUGUAUUUUCCCUUCUGACCAGCCUUCAUGCGGCUAUUAAAAUUAGGAAUUUAUUUUAUUCUAUUUUUAAAUUCAUUUUCCUAAAUGGGAAGUCGUCAUAUAACUCUUCAAACCUCGUUCGUAUAUCGUAUAUAAGAAACGCGUUUGGAUUAUUCGUAGGACUAGGACCGAUAAAGGGCACUCAGGUUGCUUAAUGAGCAAGCAAGCCAAGCCCGGACCAACUUACCCGCCGUAUGAUUUGUAAAGUUUACCUUAUUUCCCGUCGACAGAAAAAUUAACACGCAUCGUGUGCGUGCUUACCUCGCAAAAGAAACAAAGAUGGUGUAAUAUUUGGAGAUGCAGAAUUCUGAGCUUGAGUCAUCCCUUGACAACAAGACAGCCCCAAGUUGUGACCUGUGUCAUGGCAACAGCCACGAAAAUCAGCCUACAGCAUCAGAGGCAGGUCUUUCAAGAGGACGGUAGCUUUAACCACUGAAGUAAAAACGAAAAUAAUUCCAAAUUUAUCAUAAUUUUUGUUAUUUUUAUCAAAUAAAAAAAGAAAAAUAAAAAUAUUUUAUUUUAAAAAAAUCAUAAGGAUGAUUUUAAUUUUUUUAAAAAAAAAAAAAUUAUAGGCUAUAAUUUAAAAUGAAAUAAAUCGUAUUUUUCAAGGAAUGAUUUUUACAUUUUUUUUUUAUUUGAUAAAAAUUAUGAUAAAUUUGAAAUUAUUUUUUUCAUUAUAGUAGAUUUAGAAUUAUUUUUUUAUUAUGGUAGUUUAGAAAUUAUUUUUUAAUUCCAAAAUAUCAAUAAGCAAAAAUUCGAUAUUUCAAUCUCAGGUAUUAUAGAAAACAUUUUUAAUAUUUUUAAUACUUAAAAAAAUUUAUUAUUUAAAUAUUAAAAAUAUUUUUUUAAAUCACUUUCAAAUACCCUCGAAAACUAUGGCGAAUGAACCUUUAUGUUUGGGGCACAAAUCCUAGAAUUCAUCCCUCUAAGCAUACAAAGUCUAUUGCCUGCCUGCACAUGUUCCAGGUGGGAAGAGAAACGAGAACAAUAAUAUAAACUAUUUCAGGUGAAGAAAUUGAAAUUCUAAUGCCCUGAGGUUUUGGAUGCCACUACAGUUCUAGCUUCAUAAGUAACCAGGAAUCUCAUAUGGAAAAUCAUCCAAAAUGAAAUAUCAUUUCAAUGAAAAAUACAAGGAAAACCAAAAUAGAAAGGAAAAAGAAAAAAUAAAUAAAUAAUAAAAAUAGAUUUAAAACAAAUAAAUUAUUUAUAUAUAUAUUAAUUUAAAGUCUUUUGGUUUAUUUAACCCUUUCAUAUAAGAUUAAAUAAUUUUAAAAUAUACAAUUUUUUUCUAAUUUUAAUUAUAUUUGAAUUUUCUUUAACAUCUUUUAUAAUAUUAAUACUAGUAUCAUUGUAACUGUUUUUCAAUUUUGGUAGGAUCUUGGGACAAAAGGGUAUCAUAUUUGGGUUAUGAGAAAAUGUGGGAAAGAAAAAUUUUCUAUUUGUAUGCACACAUUUUGUGAAAAAUCCUGCAAAAUUAGUGAAACAAUAAGACAAUGCGAACAAAGAUUUAUUGAAAUUGACAAAUUAUGGGAUACAAUUUCUAUGGUAAUAUUAUUUUACAAAAAAAAAUGUCCUUCUAAUUCUUUCGUUUUGACCACAACUCGAAUAAUAAUAACCCUGAGGGGUAGCUCAGUUGGUCAGGCCUUGGGUUUGCUCCCCAAUGGUCACCAGUUCGAGUCCCCUCAGGGCCACUGGAGGUUUACCCGGUCGUUAACUUCAGGACCCCGUGGGAUUAGUCGAGGUGCGCGUAAGCUGGCCCGGACAUCCACGGUUAUAAAAAAAAAUAAAAAAUAAAAAAAAAAUAAUGGUAAAAUUGUUUUCUUAGAUUUGAAAAUCUCAGAGAGGUCUACAGAAAAUUCUGGGAAAACGUCAAUGGUUGCUGUCUUAUUUGGCAAAGAAAAAUAGAACACGUUCUAAAGAAUUAAUUGGUCAGUUGGGUAUUCAGGAUUCAAAAAUUCGUUAAUUUCAAGAGUCCUUUUGAAUUAUUUGAUUUAGUAGAUCUUGAAUUUUGAUGAACUUCUUUUCGUUUUCAGCAAUUCAUGGAAGAAUGAAUCAGGGCUAAAAUGACUUUUCUUCUCAAAUGAACUUGUUAAAUGACGAUAAACAUGUGUAACACUUCUACCAUUUAUCAAACUUGUAAAGAGAUUUUAUAAAGAUUUUUUCUUUUGUUCUGAAGCCUAUUUUCCCAUACAAAGUUUUUCUCCUAUGAUUUUUCUAGUCUCCUCUAGAUUUUUCCUUUAGAUUUUCUACGAUCUAGAUUUUCCCCAUCUCCAAUUUUCUCUCCCUUUUUCGAAAGAAGUCGCCUCUAUUUAUACGUGAAGAUAGAAAAUUAAAUUUUGAAUUCCCGAAUUUUAAUUGUUUAAUUUAAAAGAUUUAGUUAUUUUAGUAAUUUUUCUUAUUCCGAAGGUUUUACAAACAAGAUAAUAAUAAAAAUAAUAAUAUAUUUUGGAGGGGUAGUUGGAAGGCCUAUCUAAACUCUAUGUAGAAAAUAUAUUUUAUUAAUUUUAUUAUAUAAAACCAUGUUUGCAAUGAAACCUGUCAUAAACUUAUGGGCAUUUGAUCUUUAGAUAUGGACAAGGGAAAGAAUGAUUACCAAUGUAUAGAGAAAAAAAAAUUACUACCUCUUCUCAAAAUAACUUACUAAUACUAAAACAUCUCUAUUAACAAGAGUACAAGAUGACAUCACUUUAAAAACUACAACACCAAAAUAUUUACUACUCCAAUGGGCCAAACCAAUUCAACAAACCCUAAACCGAAGGUAAUUGCUCAUUUUGUCCUCAUUCCCUACUAGUGGUGUUUUGAUUCUUGAUUUUGAACAUAUCAAAGUUGUAAAAUGUUUUAUCUUGAUAGCAUGCUAUCUUCAUUGAGAACAUGGUCCAUAUGACAAGGAGGAACCAUCCAAAAUAUGAGAUAAGGAUCAAGAUCAACAAAGUUGCAAAUACUGUUCCACUCAAGAACCUAACAUAACCCAAAAUAAGGAGAUAUCUUCCAUCAUCUUCAAUUUUGACAAUUCCAUCAGAAUUAAAGAUCUUAUAAACCACAACCACCAUGAAAUAUAUAGAUGUUGCAAAUAAGGAGAUUUACAUAGCUAUAUUGUGUUGGACAAACAGAGAAACAUUCUCAUGUUAGUACUUUACAAGAGUAGCUAAACCCAGAAUCACAAGGAAAUAGAUGAAAUUUGAUAAAGCUUUGUUAUGAAAACAAUAAAUAAACAAAAAGGAAAUUCAAUUAGAUUUAUGAAAAUAAGACACUAAUGGCACUAAUUCAAAAAAUUAGGUAAAUUUGAUCAAAUCAAUCCUUUUCUCUAAUUUUAGAGAAUACUAUAUAGUUUCAUCUAAAAUAAUUACAUUUUUAGAAUAUUAAAAGUACAUGAGAAAUAAAUUAAAGAAAUAUGAGGACUGAUUUCCAAAUGGAUACUAGAAUAAUUCAAUUUUCUUUUAAGAUUCCAUUUAAAAUUAUAGCUUGAGAAAUUUAGUGUCUAUAAGUAAAAGAACAUCGAGGGAAAAUGGUGAAACGUCAAUAAUGGUAUUAUUUUUCUUGAAACCAUACAUGAGAGAUAAUUUUAAUGAGUUAAGGUAUACUUUCAAAUGAGUAAAUACCAAAUGAAGAUACAAAUACAAUGCUAAAUUUAAUUAAUGAAUGCCAAGUGAAAAUUAAUGAAAUAUAAAAGUUGAAGGAAAUGAUUUAAAAAAAGUGUAUUGAAUUAAACAAACGGUUGAGUAAGUUGAAAAGAAUAUUAAAAACAAAAUGGAGAUGAAUGGAGUAACAAAAUGGAAAAAAAAUGAUAUGAGACAAAAGCUGUUGAGGCUUUUGAUGCAAGAAAAUUGUUAGAAAAAUUGAGCUAAUUUAACCUAAGGUAAUCACCCUAGGGGUGAGGUUGGGGGUGGGAGGAGGAGGGAGGGGUGAAUAGAGUGAUGAUUUUUUUUUUUUUUUUUUUGUAAAUUUAAAUUAUGUGAAUGCAAGAGAUAAUUAUAUGCAAAUAUAUAAUAAAACAAUAUAAGGACAAUUGCAUAUAAUAAAACAUAAAAUUUUUAUAGUGGUUCGGCGCAACCCGGCCUACGUCCACUUUCCUCUAACUUCAAUCCCAAGCUUGAGGUUCCACUAAUUCAAGGCUUCCAAACCAAACUUUCAAGCAAUACAAUUGAAUUAUGGUUUCAAUCCACUUUUUUGAACUUUUGGCUCCAUACACCAUUUAUAAUCUUCAAGAGAUACCUCACUCUUGAAUACCCCUCAAGUGAUACCCCACAUUUAGAUUAUUCCUCUCAAAGAUUUACAAAUAAAGAUAAGAAAUAAUCUCACAAAAUUCUAUUACAAAAUUUAAGGAUCAAAUGAUACAAGAAAACUAAAAUUGAAUGGUGCACUAAUAAUAUGCAAGUUUUAGAACAAUGGUUUGCUUAAAAACACUCUUCUAAUGCUCAAAUAUAUUCAAGAAAUGUUUAAAAAGGUUAAACUCUUGAAACAAUGAAAAUUAGAGCCUUUUAUAGAGGAAAAAUAUUAAACUAAUCGUUGGAGGUUCGUCUGGUCGAGCUUUGGUUCUAUCAAUUCAUUAACCGUUAGCAUUUAAUGCAUGACAGGUGACCGUUGGACGUCAACCGCCCCUCAACUAGUUGAGUUUCAUCAUCGACUAGUUGAAGUUGAACCCCAAUUGAUUGAACAAGUGUUCUAAAAGAAAGAUAAUGUUUUGCAUCCUUCAACCAAUUGAACUAAAUAAGUCGAUCGAUUCCUUAUCUGGUUUAAUCGAUUGAGCCGUUUUUUGCUCAACAACCAAAAUUUUCAACUUAAAACAUUUUAAACAAGUUUGGAAAACAUUUGACAUAAGGUUUUAGUUGAAAACAUAACAUCAUCUAAUUUUAAAAGAUUUAAAACAAAAUAACUCUUAUAUGAUUUUGGUGUAUAAGUAAAUAAUGUAAUGUAUGAAAAACCUAGUGCACCAACAACCUUAUAAAAAGAUCCUAUAAAAUUUAGGUCUUGAAAAAUACUUCUCUUUGACAUCUUCUUUUUCUUAUGGAUUUCCCUUUGGCUUGAUUUUGACUUUGUGAUUGUCAUUUUAGAAAUCUUCUUACCUAAUCACACUUGAAAUAUUAUCAUUAGUUCCAAACCUUAUUUUGUUAUCAUCAAUACCAAGAUUAACCAAACCCUGGUUUCACAAAAAUGAUAGGGAGAAAGCACAAACCGUGUGUAUGAUAUGAAUGGGCAAUCAUAAAAUAGCAAGUUUGUAUAUGAGUAAAAUGAGGUAUACCCUGUUUGUCUUACCAUGGAAAUAAAAAGGAAAAUAUUUUAGAUGUAGCCUAGCUCUUUGAAGAAAUGAGGCUAUAAAUAGGAGAUGAAAGACAGGGGUAUUUCGUUAAAAAAAAUUCUUAACACAUUAAUUUUCUAUGUAGUCGUGCAACCACAUUAGUUAUUUGCAACCAAGUAUCCUUUUCAUACUUAACUUUCUGUAUGCUUCCAUAUCAGCCAUCUAUCUUUUUCAUGCUUAAUUUUCUAUAUGCUACCAUGCAUUUUUCUAUAUGAUACCAUGCUUAAAUUUCUGUAUGCUAUCACCAUGCUUUUUUCUGUAUGUUACCAUGUUGGUGAGGAAAACAACGACAACGCUGAGGAUGUCGAGGGUCUCGUGGUCGGAGAAAGUGAAUCCGGAGAGAAAGGAUCGAAGAGGCAGAGUAGAGGAAGAUCCAAGUAGCGAGGAGGGAGAUGAAGAGACGAAGUUGCCAUUGAUGGUGGUUUUCAUGGUGGAUGGUUUUUGUUAGGCUAAUAGAUUUGAGGUAGUUAGGUUGUAGACAUUGAGGAGAUCUAUAACAUAGAUGUUGGGAGAAAAUCAAAAAAGGGAUUUCUGAUAACUACACUACAAUUUAAAAAACUAAUUUGUGAAAGAAUUAAUUGAUAAAAAUGAUAAAAUCUCAUAUUUAUAAUUCUAACCUUCUCAUUUUUUUUGUCUUGAAAAAUAAUUUGUUUUUCACCUAAAUACUUGUGGACCCGCAAUUUUCACGUGUGUUCCCACUCAAAAUGGUGAGACUUACUUUUUAUUGUGAAAUUUUGAUUUUUUUUUUUAAAAAAAAAGAGUUAGAGUCAUCACUUAUUUUAGUUUAUUUUUAAAAGGGAAAAUAAAAUAAGAAAGAAAAUCCUAUGUGACUCUUUAUUUGGAAAAAAUGAGUUUGCAAAAACUGAAUCUAGAUUCGGAGGUCGGGUUACGAUGAAAAGCCAUAGCACCCCUCUAGCCCGUAUACCUACGAUCUCUAUUAAAUGAAUUGAGGGAAUAAUAGUGAUGGAUACCGUACGAAUGGUGGUGAUGUUCUUGUGAGAAUCGAACCAAGUGUCAAUGGGAAGCCUUAUCCUACUUGGAGGAUGAUACUCUAAUUCUCCAAUUCAUUGCCGAAGCAUACGAAGGGAUCAUGAAGAAGGACUUAGAGAAAGAAAGUAAGGAGAUUAGGGUUAGAGAUAAAGAUAGGUGAGUCAAGUGAGGGUGGGUUUAAAGAGAAAGAGAAUGAGAGAAAUAGACAAGGGCUAGGGUGACAUGUGGUCAGAUUAGUGACCGACGGUGAGGGAAGUGAUGACAAUGAGGAUGGGAGUCAUGGGUAUGGUGUUGGUGAGGGAAAAGAGGAGAGGAAGUAAUAAGGAGAAAAUGAAAAAUGAAGAGGAAAGAAAAAGAGGAAAUGGGAUGUGGGAGUGAAUGAGAGAAAGAAAAUGAAUGGGGGAUUAGAAAGGAAAAAUAAAAAUAAAAAUAAUAACAAUAAUAAAAAUGAAUGAAAAAUAAUAAAAUAACAAGAAAAUAAAAUGAAAACAUAAAAAUUAAUAUAAUAAUUAAAAAGAAAAACCUUGGACAUUUUUUGGGGUCUACAAUACUAUUCAAUAUAUUGAUUAUAUUUAUAUAUGUAUUUUAAAAGAAAAUAUUGUUUUUGUAAGAAAAAAGUAAGGGCAUUUUCAUCUUAAAUGGAUAUCUUUUAGAGUUAAAAAUAAAAAUAAAAAUUGAGGGUUAAAUUUACAAAAUGUGGAUGAUUUCAUCAUUUCAAAUCAAACAACCCUUUCUCCAAUUAAAAAAUUGAUGCCACAUAUUUUCUUAUUUUUUUAUAAUAGUUUAACAAAUAAAAUAAUUUAAUAACAAAAUUAUUAUAAAUAUAUGUAUUAUAAAAUUGAUUAAUUUUAUAUACUAAAUUCAUUAUAUAAAAAUAAUUAUAAUUACUAUUGAUAUAUGAUUUAUGAUUAUAAUAUUUAUAAAAGUAAAUAUUAUGUUUACCGUUUUAUCUUAAAAAAAUAUUAUUUUAUAAUAAAUUAGGUAUUAAUUAAAAAAAUAUUUUGGUCUUUAUUUCAAAAUUUAUCUCAAAAAUUAAUUCAUUUAAUUAUAUUACAAAUAGAAACUGAUCCAAUUUUUAUUUAUUUAUUUGAUAAAUAAUAAAUAUUUUAAUUUUUAAACUUUAUCCAUUACUUUCUUUCACUGUUCAUUUCACUUUUAUAUUACUUUUUAAUAUUUUUUAAGUAAUAACUUUUAAUUGGAUGACAAUUAUUUUCAAUCAAUUUAAAAUAUCGAGGAUAAAUAAAUUUCUAAUUUUUUCAAAAAACGAUCAUAUUAAUCCGAUUUUAUAAAUCAUUUUUUUAAACUACCGUCCAAUAUAAAAAAACGCAGGAUGCGGCUGGUUCACCACCACAGUCGAUGCUCUUCCGGUUCCAGCCUUCAUGCGGCUACUAAUAGGAAGUCGUCGUAUAACUCUCGAAAACUCGUAUGGAAGACGCGUUUGGAACUUACUUGUACGACUGAAAAGGGACUCUCAGGUUGCUUAAUGGUUAUGCAUGCUAAGCCCGGAUCAACUUACGCGUCCAACGGCUUGUAAGCGGAUGUUUGACAUAACAACUUAAUAAUUUAGAAUUACUUAAUAAUUUAAUUUAAAUUAUUAUUUUAUAAAUUAACUUAAUUAUAUAAUUUAAAUAAAAAACAACUUUUAAUUAACUUAUUCUUAAAUUUACAUAUUCAUUUUACCUUUUAAUCUCAACUAUUACUUCACUUCUAUUAUUGUUGGAACUCUUCUCCACUUCAAGAUCAAUAUUACUAACGGCCACAACUUCAUCAAGAGUUUACGUUUUUUUUUUUAUAAUUGCAAUAUAAAUAUUGUUUGAUUUUUUAAUAUUAAUUUUAAAAUAAUUUGUUGUGUAUUUAUUUAGUAAUUAAAUAUUAUUUCAUCUUUUAUAAUAAAUAUUUUCUAAUUAUUUUAUAAAAUUUUAGGUAUUUAUAAUACUUUAAUAUGCAUUUAAAAAAAAUAAAUUUAUUACUUUAUAUUAAUAAGGUAAAUAACAAAUAUUAAUUAUAUUUCAUGAGGGUAAACAUAUCAAUUUGAGAUUUAGAAUAAGUUUUAAGUUAAUUUUAUCAAUAACCUUAAUACUUAAAAUAAGAAUUAAGUAGUAAAUUUUAAUUAAAUAAUUUAAAUAUAACUUAACUUAGCAUCAAUUUAAAUUUUUAAGUAAUUAAGUAAUAAGUAUUAAAUUUUAUCAAAUACAACGGUCAAUUGUGGAACUAUUAAGAGGCAUGUGUUCUCCUCAAUUUUCCAAAUCAAAAAAAUUCCCAUAAGUAGUUACUAGUGUGGUUUAUUUUAUAUGAAACAUAAGUUUUAAGUAAGAUACUUUACUUUCAAUUAUCUUAUAUUUUAGUUAUUUUUUUUAAAAAAAAAUUAAGGUAUUGAUUUGAUAUUUAUAAAAAUCUUAAGAGUCUAUUUGAUAGUAUGAUUUAAAAAUAGUUUUUUAUUUAAAAAAAAACUAUUUUUAAAAUUUUCUAAUAGUGUUUGAUUGUUGUUCUCUUAAAACAAUUUAAAAAAAUGAAGUGAAAUAAAGAACAAUAUUUAGAAAACAAGUAGAAGUUGUUUUCAUAGGUUUUUAAAAACAAAAAGAUAAUAUCAACAUGUUUGACUAUGUUUUUUGUUUUCUAAAACUUGUUUUUAAAAACUAUUUUUUAUUUAAAAAAUAAAAAACAAUUUUAGAAAACAUGGUCAAACAAACCCUUAAUCUUCACUUUUAAAAGUACAUAUGAAAAUAUGGUAAGCAAUCUCCACUUUUAAAAGCACAUAAGAAAAUAUGGCAAGCACAAGAAUGAGACUAAGAUAUAAAUAGUAAGACAAUAAGACAUAAAGGUGUACACCUAUUCAAUUUGAAAAAUAUCUUAAAAGUUUUUACUACAAAAUAAUUAAAUUAAAUUGUUGAAAUUUUCUAUUAAUUUCUUUUUUAAUUCUUUUGAAAAUUUCCUUUAAAUAUUCAUGAUAGUUUGUAUUUUAUAUGAAACCUAAAACCUUUUGUAAGUGUUUUUAGUACCAAGGUUGUUUAAUAUAAAACAUUUUUAUAAUUAAUAUUUAAAAAUGAUCUAAUUUUUAAUAAUAAUAUAAAAUACCAUUAAAUUGAUGAUCAUAAUCUUAUAUUUUUCUUCAAAUGCCCCAACAAAAGAGACUCUCUUCCGCUACUGUCCCCCUGUAUUGUUUACCUUAUUUCCCAUCCAUAAAGAAAUCAACACGCAUUAUCUGCUUGCUUGCAUCGCAAUAGAACAUUCCGGUAGAUUUGAAUUCAAGCUAAACAGUGGUAAACUGCGCAGAAUUCAAUUGUAAAUAUCCGAAUGCUGAGCUAGUGUCAUCCCUUAACCAGAAGAUAAUAGACUACACUAUUUUGCUGAUACCGCCAAGUCUGGUCGAAGUUGUCACUCAUGUCAGGGAACGACCGCGAAAACCAGCCUCCAUCAUCUACUUCCAUAAUCGCUCAAGAGGCAUACAUUUCAAUUCCGAACAGCAAGUGCCCUACAGUGGAUGGGUUGCAUAAUUAAGCUAUUGAGGAAGGAGCCUUUAGGUUUGGGGUACACACCCUAGACUUCAUCCCUCACCGGAUGCAUAUGAUGUCUACUGUCUGAACAUAUUCCAUUGAGCAGCUGAACAUCACCCAGGCAAUAAAGAAUGAACAUGCGAAGACAAAGGGGAACAACAAUAUAUUAUAGUUCAGGGAAAGAAAUUCUAAUGCCCUGCGAUUUUGGAUGCCAUGACAGUGUCCUAGUUUCAUAAGUAACCUGGAAGCUCAGAUGAAAAUCGCCCAAAAUGAAAUACCAUUUUGCUUUUAAGCAUUUGAUGAAUUCAUUUUCCCAUCAUCUAAUCUUAAUCAAGAACCUUCAUCCAUAUUUUGCAUCUGGUGGCUGUCAUUUCCCACAAUAGACUGUGUUAAAGAAAAGACCACGACAGCAUGCCAUUAACAUAAGGUCAUUUUAAUCCAAACCUGAAAUUUGCAGCAGGACUACCACCAUAUCAUUUGGCCAGCAUCAUGUAACUCAGUCCAGAAGUUACCUUGAUUUCUCUUGAAAACUAAAAGUUCCAAAAGAAGUUCACAGCUAGUCAGCAUUACCACAAAGCAGGCAUACAAGGAGACACAUCUCUUAGCACUUAAUCAUAACAGAAGAUACAAUGACCUUCUCAAUUACCAAAGUAGUUAUUAUACCAAAUCACCAGAUAUAUAGUUCCCCAAUGCAUAAGAUCCAGUUGGAACCACGCAUUGGAUCUUAUUAUACCAAAUCACCGGAUACAUAGUUUGCAUGCUUUACGCAUGAUUUAGAAGGUGGACCCAUUCCAUCCAAAGUUGGAACCCUGUGCAAAAGAAGCAGCAUCAGUAUCAUCAAGGUGGCAGCAAUAGCAUGAAAUGAUUCCUACUAUAGAAACAACUGGAGAAAAAUUCAGUUCAAAAGGAUUAUCAAGAGAUUUAAAAGCUAAUAAGACUUCUUAUGAUGGUUUUAAACAGUAAAGGUUUAUUUACAUGAUCUAGUGCUGAUGUAAAGCAUGCAAACACUGUGCAUAUUCUUGACUUUGAUGGGCCUAAACAAACAGGAAGAAUGCAAUGAGAUGAAACAUGUGCAUGGCAAUGACCCAUCUUUACAAUGACUCCAAAGGUUGAGAGAUCACUUGCCUUGGAGUCAUAGAAUUUGAGGAAGAAGCGUGACUUCGGCACUGACAAUUUAGUCUCAAGAAUUGCAGAAAUUGCAGCACUCAGUUCCUUAUUGGUACCAGGGUUAAGGCCACCAAUGGAAACCAAUUCGCCAUAGGCUGCUGGCUGCUCAGUCCCACCAAAAGCAAUCGGUACUGAACCCUUCAACACGAUCAUCACAUACUGCAUAUUGGCAUCACAAAACAGUUAAAAACUAAUAAUUGUAAUUUUAAAAAAUAUAAAAAAAAUAUAAAGCUAACAACCACAUGCACUCCCUUUCAUUUUUUAAGAAAAUAAGAAAAGGAAAAAAUAAUAAUAGGGCUAAAUACAAAUGCUAUUACCCACACUGGAGGAAUUCGUGGUUUUAGGUUUUAGUCUAAACAAACAUGAUGGUGUUUGGCUGCCAGGGAACUAAUUUUCCAGUUAAAUAAUUGACACACAACUGGUCUUCGCUUGGAAUGGUAUGGCUUAAUCUACUUUACACACGGGAUUUGAGAGGAAAAAAAAAUUCAUCUACAGUGGGACCAUAAAAGAAAAUCGGAGCUAUCUCCAAUUCACUGCGAUUGCCCCUACGAAUCAGUUUUGCAAUUUCAAGAAAUGCCAGAAUUACAAGAGUUUUAUCUACAUUGUCUCCGAGUUUGAUGCACAGACAAAGGCAAGCUCUAUUAUAAACUAAGAACCAACCACUCCGGGUUUGGAUCGCUCUUCACUAGCAAGAAAGAAAAACCAGCAAAGCAUGAACAUUAAGGUAGAUCCCCAUCAUCAAACUCCCUUUCAGCAAAUUCAAUGCGCUCUAAAUAACAAACAAUGUUAGAUAUAAAUCAGGGUAAUCACAAACUUUGCAUCAAGAUUAAAGGUAAUAGAAAUUUCUUCUAAGCAAAAUACAUCCAAAUUUAGCUAUCCAUCCAGACAAAUAUUGGGGAAUCGAUUAGGUCAAGCGAUUGCGGAGAAAACCGAAGAAAAUAAAAGAUAUUAAAACUUUAAACAUCACAAAUUAUGUAGAGUCUUGGUUCCGAAGAAGAGUCUCAAAGAAUCCAGAUAAUUUGUCGGCUUCAUAUAGGUAAGCAUUUCUAUUUUCUGUAUCCCAAACAGUGAAAAGAAAAUCUAAAAAUCUUAGUCACUCCAUCUCCCAACGCUUUUGGGGAGCAAGCAAAAGGACGAUAGAAAAAAUCAAGUUAGUGAAAAAACUGAGAUUAAAAACAUGUAAAGCAUAAGAAAGUGGAUGUGAAAAGAAAGGAAGAUAGAGGUUACAGCUUCAGGUUUGCCAAUGAUCUUGGCAACGGUAGAGGUGGCCUCAGAGAGGAUGGAAGAGGUGUCUACGCCGUCCAGGCUCACGUUAGUGGACAGGUUCAGGCAAGGCAUCUUCGCUCUAUCACUCUUUGCUCUGCUCUGCAAAACCCUAGUUGCUUCCCUUGUCUCUCUCUCUCUCUUUCUCCUGUCCACCUAUAGCGGUUCCCUUGGGAUUGAAUCUUUUUGCCCAAAAUGCCCUCUAGGUGUGUUUGUUAACACCUCGGAAAGAAGACUGAGGAAAUAUAAAAUAUGUUAUAAAUAUAUGGUUAUUGUUUUUGAACACAUAAUUAUCCAUGAUAAUUUUUACUUUUCUAGUAAAUAAUUAAAUAUUAAAUUUAAUUUUGAUUUUUUUAUAACUCAAAAUUCUUUUAUAACUCUAUUUCUUCUUUAUUAUUCAUUUUAUUUAUAACGCCUUAUCAAUACUAACACCUUAACCCACUUGGAACCAAAAAAAUUCUUUCAACGCAUCAUUCAAAGAUACACUACAAAGUUUUAUAUUAUUUUAUCAUUUCCAAAAAUAUUUUGUUCUUCUACCUUAUAUAUAAUAUUUGAAUUAUAUUAUAUUUUUUCGCUUGAAAAUGUUGAUAUUUUAAUUUUGUACAACCUAAAGGUGCCAAAUGGGAGCGGGCCUUUAUGGGUCGACAAAACCUAUUUAAAAAUUGUGUUGUGUCAUGCUAAUCCAUGUAAACCAAAUAGUUGACCCAACACAGAUCAUGAGCUUAUGGGCCAAUCGUGUCGGUAUGCCAUGCUAGGGGCCAUAUUGGUGGGCCAUGUUAAUAGGUUGUGCUGAUGGGCAUGUUGAUAUGUCAUUCACUUUAUCAAAAUUUUUAAUUUACUUUUUGAAGUCAUUUUGUCUUAACUUUUUCACUAUUAAAUAAAAUCUCUUUUUACUACUUUAAACAUAUCUAAUGCCGACUAAGCAUGCACCCUCACUAGUCCAAAGAUAGGAACGGAGAAAUCCAAGGUAUUCUCUACAAAAUGACUUUCCAAAAAGUGGAAACAAACCUAUCAAACUCCAAUGAACCAAUAGGUAAGUCUAACAAAUCGACAAAUGAUGCAAAAAUGAAUGAAUAAGUAGCUCCUAGCUAAAAUAGAACUCCAUCUCACUAGAAAUGAAAUUGAAUAAUACUUAUGACAACAUCUAACAAAGCCUAAGCAUUCUAGUAUGUCAUGGAAAAUACUCUUCCUUAGGCUUUUAGCUUAUGUGUUGUUUAUUUUUUAAAAUUUUUGUUGAAAGCAAGUUGCUUUCAAAUUUUAAAUUGUUUAUUUUUUCAAUUUUUGUUAACACGUUACUUUUUUUUAAAAAAAAAAAUUACUAAAUAGAUAAUGUCAAAAUAUUUAGUUUUUUUUUUAAAUGCUAAAAAUAAUGUGUUGGUUUUUUUUCUUUCUUAAUAUUUAAUGGAAAUAAAAUAUUUAAAAAAAACAUUUAACUUAAUACUUAACAGUAAUAACCAUUAUUUUGUUUUAAGUUCUAUUUAGAAUUUUAAGAAGAAAAAAAACACCACCUUAGACUUGUAGGGAACCUCAAAUUACUUCAUUUUCAUACCCAAGAUCAUUAUGAUGCAUAAAAUUCUAUCAUAAGCUCUCUAGAUCUUAUCACAACAAAAACAUAAUAGGACCACAUUUCUAGAUAUUAGUGUCAUAGUUGUGAUUUAGAUGUUCUUAUACCAAUUCCUAUUAGUGUAAAAAGAUCCAAAACUCCAAAAGAUCUCUUAAACACAAUGGUUUUUCACCCUAAUGACUCAUUCUUGAGUCUAGGCAUCGAGACUAUAGAGAUCUCAUAGAGAGUGGAGGUUAAGGUUCUCUCUC
rnacentral:lncRNA from 1 species